CAUCACUUUGCAGCAGAGAAAAUUCUGCCCACGCUUCCCUCCCAAGAAGGACACCCAGGCCCCCUCUCUGCCCCAGGGCGGAAAAGCCCAGUGCUCCACCUCCAGCCCCGCAGGCCUCCACACUCACGCCCCAGAGGUUUCCCUGGUCCCUCCCGCUCCCAGUGGCAACCAGACUUGUGCACAGAGGAGAGAUGCUCAUGCCGGCAGGCGGCCCCCACCUCCGCAUGACCGCCUCCUCCUCUGGGCCACCGGCGGGGUUCCUAGGGCAGUCCCCUGCCCCAGACCUGGCCCAGUGGAUUCCCAAGCAGCCAAUUGGGGUGUCUGUCUGCAGGGCCCGCCCCCGGACAUCUGCUUGCCAAAAGGAGCCGGACCAGCCCCCGGGAGGGCCCAGAGCUCGGCAGGGCUGGGGUUAGUAGGAAGAGAAAACAGGAUUAGUAGAGGCUGGGUUAGUAAGUCAGAGCACACACCAGCGGACAGGGCACCUCAGCAGACACACGCGGGAGUCACUAGGAGAGAAGGAAGAGCACACGCAGAGAAGGGGCCAUGUGAGGACACGGUAGGAAGGUGCCACCUGCAGCCAAGGAGAGAGGCCUCAGCGGAAACCACCCCUGGCAUCUUGAUCAUGGACCUCCAGCCUCCAGAACUGCAAGAAAAUGCCUUUCUGCUUUUGAAGCCCCCCGGUCUGGGGUAUUCUGUGAUGGCAGCCAAGCCGACUCAUGCAGGCCCCCUCCCCUGCCAGGAAAAUGAUGAGGGGCUUUGAAGAAAGGCUGAGGCUGCUCCAGGACAAGCACUGGGACCGGCCCCCUGGAGGGAUUGGCCUAAGGGGAGACCCGGAAGGGGCCGGAAGUGAGUCUGCAGCCGUGUGAUGGGGAGGCUGCAUGUGGCUGGGCCCGCCUGCCUGCCUUUGCUGCCCAAGGACACAAUUGGAGAUUGGUGCAACAAGGAGCAGGGGGCUGACAUCAGGCUGGGGGGACCCCUCAAGCCUUGGGGCCAGGGGGGUUCUAGCCCAUUCUCUUUGGACGGUGGGAACAAAGCCCAGUGUCUGUCUCCUUCUGGCGACCUCCCCUGGCCUAGGUCCCCUCAUCUCUAGGAAACUCUCCCCCUUCAAGGCGGCACACCCUCUCCCCUCCAGCUGCCCCUCCCAGAGCUCGGCGACACGGAGGAAGGCCCCCGCUCCCCCGACCCUGCCUGCCUCCUCCCUGUGACCAUCAGGAAGAGGAGAAGCACAGAGAAGCCCCAUCCAAAAGGCACCCCCCAAAAUAAGAAUCGCUCACAUGACAAACAGCACAUGAGACUCCAGCCCACAGCACCCCCGAGCUGCGACGCCCCCCCCACCCCCAACCCCUGGCAGCUCCUCCGGAUUCCCAGCCUGCUUUCCUGCGUCCGUCCUGGAGGGUCCUUUGAGACCCGGCCUUGGGGACGGGGUGGUCAGUGGGGUUCGGGCCGAGCUCUGUCUGGUCGUGAGCAGGGAUGCCGGGAGGAAUGAAGUCCACACGGGGUCAGGAAGGGUCUCCGGGCCCGGACAGGCAGGCCCAGCAGGUGGGUCAUGGUGGGUGCAGAGGGGACGGUGGGUGGCCAGCCUCCGUCACACCCCUCGAGCCGUCCCCCACAGCCAGGCCCUGUGCUUGGCUGAGCUCCAGCCAGGAGGGGGCCUCUAUCCACAGGAGGCUUCAUCCCGGGAGCUGGAAAGGAUAAGGUCUUCGGGGAAUUGUUGAGGGCUCCAGAAAAGCACCGAAGGUUCCUCCGUGUGUCCUCGUGGCUGGAGUCCAGAGUCGCCCGGGCUCCAAAGAGAAGACCAGGCCAAGAGUCUUGGAGACACAGCUGGGGCAGAGUGGCCUGGAGGAGACACAGCGAGCUCGGAGGAGGGCACAGCCUCCGUGCCCAGCUCUCCAUACCCCCAGUCUAACCCCACCUCCGAGGGGGGCACCUUCAGAGACCCCAGUCUCCCUCCUGUGCCCCCAACACCUAGACAGGGUGGGGUUGACGGCCUUGGACACUAAAACCUUUUAGAGGAAACUCAGGAAUAGAGAGGAAGCAAUGGAAGCCACGGAUACCCCAUCUCAGCAGGGCUUAUUCAGGGGAUGGAAAAGCUAUAAAGGGAGCCCAGAGCCGACCCCAAGAGCAUCGUGGGCGGAGAGGGAUGGGGGUCAGGCGUAUGCACAGGGCCUUCCGAGUCCUCGGGAGGCCAGGAUCCCUUUAGAACAUUCCCGCUGAGGGAACCUCUGCACCUCCCUCCCCCAACACACAUGCACACACAUGCACACCUCCCAGGACGGGGAGCUCAUUCCCUCGCCGAGACAGCGCUAAAGCACGUUCUUACCUGAAGAUCAGAGAGGGCGGAACCACAUCUCUGGUGUUCACCUCUGGAUCCUCAGCAUCGAGCUGGGAGAAGGUGCUUGGGCUGUGUUUCUGCGGAAUAAAGGAAUGUGGUGAACUCUCUGCCAG
rnacentral:lncRNA from 1 species